CCCGGCGUAGUUCAACUUGGUAGAACGAUGGACUGUAGAUCCAUAUGUUGGUGGUUCAAAUCCGCCCGCCGGGA
rfam:Thermoplasmatales archaeon DG-70-1 WOR1_52_54_4346, whole genome shotgun sequence.